rnacentral:rRNA from 1 species
UGCCACAGCCAUUUGACCCUGACGGCCAAGAGUGGUUACUCACAGAAGCUAAGCAGGGCUGAGCCUGGUCAAUCCCUGGAUUGAAAACCACAUGGGAAUACUGGGUUGCUGGUGGUGU